rnacentral:ribozyme from 1 species
GCCAUCCAGAUAUGCUGCCUCUACGUGGCGGAUGGCAGGCAACGGGAUUCUCUCCCGGCUAAAAGCAUA